UAGUGUACUUGCUGUAUUUGGAUCUUGCAUAAGAACCCAGAUAAUACUUGAAGUAGAAGCAUGACAAAAGUGCAAUACUCUCAGUUAGAGUAUUAAAAACAAUAAUUUCACUUUUCUUGGCGGGAAGAGCGAGGGGAAUUGAUAAUGAACGAGUUGUCUAUCGAUUAGAUUAGCAAAUUUGGGUGAUAGUUGACGAAGAACAGACGGAAGAGUGGUAGAAGGGUUCGGACCACAUCAAACUGACAGUUGGGAUUGUAUAUCAUGACAAGAUUAAUAUCAUUUGGGGCCACGGGCUCAUCAGAAGAAUGGAAUGAAAUCGCCUCCAAUUUUCCACAAUAGGGAGUGGAGCUCAAUAAUGUCUGUGCCAUAUGUUUUACUUAGUAGUAUUUUUUUUUUGGAGGGGAGGGAGGGUAGAAGGGGUGUACGAACGAAUUCCAGACCGCUUGUAAUUGUUUAAAAAUAGAGCGGGCUAAUAAUCAGAAAUGCGAGUGCACUGCACUGAGGGCGUGCCCGAACCCCCCCUCUCCGCCCUCCACCCACCAUAAUUAAGCACGAGAAAAGAAGAAGAAUCAAGGAACGGCGGAAGAACGAAUAAGAAUACAAGAAAGGGAGCAAAGCGAAGCGGAGCAAAAGAACCAACGUGAUUGCCCCAUGUGAGAAGUGGAACAAACUGCGCACAGGCAUUACUAAUGCAAAACAAUUUGUACAAGAUUAUAAAUUUCAUGGCUCAGAAGAACUGGAAAGAAAACAAAGCGAGGCAUUGCGAUGUGCUGCUGAUGACGAUGAUUAUGGAAAAAAUAAUGAUCGGGAACAAGAGCGCGCAGCACCAAGUUCAAGCCAAAUCAAGAUGUCACAAUAUUCUGCCCGCAACUUUAUGCCGAGGAUACAGAGGUACUCAAAUGCAGCAAAAAGUAAAAGAGAAGCCCAGCACAAAGAGCAAGCCAUAAAACGGAACAAAGAAACUACCUUUACCUGCUCGACAGGCACACAAAUUCAGACAUACACACUCUUCUAAAAAUGCCGUCGCUUGGCAGAUAAAAUAUCCGUCCCGAUCCCAAUUCCAAUCUUCAUCCCACAGAAACCAUUCCAUUCCUUCCAAUCGCAUCCUCGAUUUCAUCGCAAAAGCACCGCCAACAUCACGACCGCAGCUGCCUUGGUUUGAUGCAAAUUACGCUACAGUAAAUACUGGCAAAGAGCAACAGUUAUGUUCUAAAAAGAAAUGACAAAUAUUUUCAUAUUUUCUUCAGCUUACUAAGUAGUUAUUGUUAAUCAUUGUGAACGAAAAGUCGGUUAACUAACAUUGAACAGAACAAAGUAUUUCAAAAAGUCUUUAAUCCGAUUAAUACCAUUGGUUUCUAAUUCUAAGAGCUCUGGAACAGAAUUUACGUUUUUGUCUUCUUUUAUAAAUUCUUCAUACUCCUUAUACCUCAGCGUAUAUAAACUUGCAAAACUUGUAUUAUUAAACGAAUGUAAUUUCAUAUCUUAAA